GAUGAACGCUGGCGGCGUGCCUAAUACAUGCAAGUCGAGCGAACAGGCGAGGAGCUUGCUCCUCUGACGUUAGCGGCGGACGGGCGAGUAACACGUGGAUAACCUACCUAUAAGACUGGGAUAACUUCGGGAAACCGGAGCUAAUACCGGAUAAUAUAUUGAACCGCAUGGUUCAAUAGUGAAAGACGGUUUUGCUGUCACUUAUAGAUGGAUCCGCGCCGCAUUAGCUAGUUGGUAAGGUAACGGCUUACCAAGGCAACGAUGCGUAGCCGACCUGAGAGGGUGAUCGGCCACACUGGAACUGAGACACGGUCCAGACUCCUACGGGAGGCAGCAGUAGGGAAUCUUCCGCAAUGGGCGAAAGCCUGACGGAGCAACGCCGCGUGAGUGAUGAAGGUCUUCGGAUCGUAAAACUCUGUUAUUAGGGAAGAACAAAUGUGUAAGUAACUAUGCACGUCUUGACGGUACCUAAUCAGAAAGCCACGGCUAACUACGUG
rnacentral:rRNA from 1 species